rnacentral:misc_RNA from 1 species
CCGAGUUUACAACUCCCAAACCCCUGUGAACAUACCUAUACGUUGCCUCGGCGGAUCAGCCCGCGCCCCGUAAAAGGGACGGCCCGCCGCAGGAACCCCUAAACUCUGUUUUUAGUGGAACUUCUGAGUAUAAACAAACAAAUAAAUCA